AGUGCAUGUGGUGGAUGCCUUGGCGAUCACAGGCGAUGAAGGACGCGGUAGCCUGCGAAAAGCUACGGGGAGCUGGCAAACGAGCUUUGAUCCGUAGAUGUCCGAAUGGGGAAACCCGGCCCUUUUGGGUCAUCCUGGACUGAAUACAUAGGUCCAGUGAAGCGAACGCGGUGAACUGAAACAUCUAAGUAACCGCAGGAAAAGAAAUCAACCGAGAUUCCCAAAGUAGUGGCGAGCGAAAUGGGAUGAGCCUUGCACUCUUUAUUUGUAUUGUUAGCCGAACGCUCUGGAAAGUGCGGCCAUAGCAGGUGAUAGCCCUGUAGGCGAAAACAGUAUGAAAGAACUAGGUGUGCGACAAGUAGGGCGGGACACGUGAAAUCCUGUCUGAAGAUGGGGGGACCAUCCUCCAAGGCUAAAUACUCGUGAUCGACCGAUAGUGAACCAGUACCGUGAGGGAAAGGCGAAAAGAACCCCGGGAGGGGAGUGAAAUAGAUCCUGAAACCGCAUGCAUACAAACAGUCGGAGCCUCGUAAGGGGUGACGGCGUACCUUUUGUAUAAUGGGUCAGCGACUUACGUUCAGUAGCAAGCUUAACCGUAUAGGGCAGGCGUAGCGAAAGCGAGUCCGAAUAGGGCGUUCAGUUGCUGGGCGUAGACCCGAAACCAGGUGAUCUAUCCAUGGCCAGGAUGAAGGUGCGGUAACACGUACUGGAGGUCCGAACCCACUAACGUUGAAAAGUUAGGGGAUGAGCUGUGGAUAGGGGUGAAAGGCUAAACAAACCUGGAAAUAGCUGGUUCUCUCCGAAAACUAUUUAGGUAGUGCCUCGUGUCUCACCUUCGGGGGUAGAGCACUGUCAUGGUUGGGGGGUCUAUUGCAGAUUACCCCGCCAUAGCAAACUCCGAAUACCGAAGAGUGCAAUCACGGGAGACAGACAUCGGGUGCUAACGUCCGGUGUCAAGAGGGAAACAACCCAGACCGCCAGCUAAGGUCCCCAAAUAUAGCUAAGUGGGAAACGAAGUGGGAAGGCUAAAACAGUCAGGAGGUUGGCUUAGAAGCAGCCACCCUUUAAAGAAAGCGUAAUAGCUCACUGAUCGAGUCGUCCUGCGCGGAAGAUGUAACGGGGCUAAGCUAUAUACCGAAGCUGCGGAUGCGAGCUUGCUCGCAUGGUAGGAGAGCGUUCCGUAAGCCUGCGAAGGUGCCUUGUAAAGGGUGCUGGAGGUAUCGGAAGUGCGAAUGCUGACAUGAGUAGCGAUAAAGGGGGUGAAAGGCCCCCUCGCCGUAAGCCCAAGGUUUCCUACGCAACGUUCAUCGGCGUAGGGUGAGUCGGCCCCUAAGGCGAGGCAGAAAUGCGUAGCUGAUGGGAAGCAGGUCAAUAUUCCUGCACCAUUGUUAGAUGCGAUGGGGGGACGGAUCGCGGAAGGUUGUCCGGGUGUUGGAAGUCCCGGUCGCUGCAUUGGAGAAGGCGCUUAGGCAAAUCCGGGCGCGUAAUUCAAGGGUGUGGCGCGAGCUCCUUAGGGAGCGAAGCAAUUGGAAGUGGUUCCAAGAAAAGCCUCUAAGCUUCAGUCUAACGAUGACCGUACCGCAAACCGACACAGGUGGGCGAGAUGAGUAUUCUAAGGCGCUUGAGAGAACUCGGGAGAAGGAACUCGGCAAAUUGGUACCGUAACUUCGGGAUAAGGUACGCCCUUGUAGCUUGACUGGCCUGCGCCAGGAGGGUGAAGGGGUUGCAAUAAACUGGUGGCUGCGACUGUUUAAUAAAAACACAGCACUCUGCAAACACGAAAGUGGACGUAUAGGGUGUGACGCCUGCCCGGUGCCGGAAGAUUAAAUGAUGGGGUGCAAGCUCUUGAUUGAAGUCCCGGUAAACGGCGGCCGUAACUAUAACGGUCCUAAGGUAGCGAAAUUCCUUGUCGGGUAAGUUCCGACCUGCACGAAUGGCGUAACGAUGGCCACACUGUCUCCUCCCGAGACUCAGCGAAGUUGAAGUGUUUGUGAUGAUGCAAUCUACCCGCGGCUAGACGGAAAGACCCCAUGAACCUUUACUGUAGCUUUGCAUUGGACUUUGAACCGAUCUGUGUAGGAUAGGUGGGAGGCUAUGAAACCGGAACGCUAGUUUCGGUGGAGCCGUCCUUGAAAUACCACCCUGGUUUGUUUGAGGUUCUAACCUUGGCCCGUGAUCCGGGUCGGGGACAGUGCAUGGUAGGCAGUUUGACUGGGGCGGUCUCCUCCCAAAGCGUAACGGAGGAGUACGAAGGUACGCUAGGUACGGUCGGAAAUCGUGCUGAUAGUGCAAUGGCAUAAGCGUGCUUAACUGCGAGACCGACAAGUCGAGCAGGUGCGAAAGCAGGUCAUAGUGAUCCGGUGGUUCUGUAUGGAAGGGCCAUCGCUCAACGGAUAAAAGGUACUCUGGGGAUAACAGGCUGAUACCGCCCAAGAGUUCAUAUCGACGGCGGUGUUUGGCACCUCGAUGUCGGCUCAUCUCAUCCUGGGGCUGUAGCCGGUCCCAAGGGUAUGGCUGUUCGCCAUUUAAAGAGGUACGUGAGCUGGGUUUAAAACGUCGUGAGACAGUUUGGUCCCUAUCUGCCGUGGGCGUUGGAUAUUUGAAGGGGGCUGCUCCUAGUACGAGAGGACCGGAGUGGACGAACCUCUGGUGUACCGGUUGUCACGCCAGUGGCAUCGCCGGGUAGCUAUGUUCGGAAGAGAUAACCGCUGAAAGCAUCUAAGCGGGAAACUCGCCUUAAGAUGAGAUAUCCCUGGGGACUAGAUCCCCUUGA
rnacentral:rRNA from 1 species